CACCAUCAUACGCCGGCGCCCGCCGCCCCCGCCACAUCCCCUAUCCGCACCUCCGUCGGACCCUCCCCCUUCCCCUACCUCGGCUCCACCACUUCCCCCUCCCCCUCCCCAGACCUGCGUCGAUCUUCUCCCUUCCUCCGAAACUCCGUCCCAUCAUCGCCUUCCUCCAGAUCUAUGCUGCCGCCGUGAGGUGUCCCUCCGCCUCAGCCGUGAGGUGUCCCUUCGUCCUCGUCGCCUACCUCCAGAUCUAUGCCGCCGUCAUUAUCUCGUUUUUGUAGGGUCUUGUGCUGGUAAAAUUAGAGCUUUGUUGGGAUUAAAGGGGGGUUUUCAGAGGGAUGGGGUUUGAGAGAGAGACGAUGGCGGCAGCUUCGUCGCGCCGCUGCUGUCGCCGAAAUUUCAGAGAUGGGAGGUCGGCGAUUGUUGAGGAAGAAGGAGAAGUGUCUGCUGUCGCCAUAAUUUCAGAGAGGGGAGGUCAGCCGAGUUUGUGAGAGAAGAAGAGAAAAUGGGUUGUUCAGUGGUGGCAGGGGGCGGCGCCGGCGAUGGUGGCGGCGAGUGGGGUGGAGGGGAAUUAGGGUUUGGGAGUGGGGGAGGUUGGGGAAGAUGAUGCGGGUGAUUUUUUUUCUUUUCUUUUUUUAAGUUUUUUUCAACAUGUCAAAAAUAGCUUAGGUGUC